UACGUAGGGUGCGAGCGUUGUCCGGAAUUAUUGGGCGUAAAGGGCUCGUAGGCGGUUUGUCGCGUCGGGAGUGAAAACACCGGGCUUAACUCGGUGCUUGCUUUCGAUACGGGCAGACUAGAGGCAUGCAGGGGAGAACGGAAUUCCUGGUGUAGCGGUGGAAAUGCGCAGAUAUCAGGAGGAACACCGGUGGCGAAGGCGGGUCUCUGGGCCGAUACUGACGCUGAGGAGCGAAAGCGUGGGGAGCGAACAGG
rnacentral:rRNA from 1 species